UACGUAGGGCGCAAGCGUUAUCCGGAAUUAUUGGGCGUAAAGAGCUCGUAGGCGGUUUGUCGCGUCUGCCGUGAAAGUCCGGGGCUCAACUCCGGAUCUGCGGUGGGUACGGGCAGGCUGGAGUUCGGUAGGGGAGACUGGAAUUCCUGGUGUAGCGGUGAAAUGCGCAGAUAUCAGGAGGAACACCGAUGGCGAAGGCAGGUCUCUGGGCAUUAACUGACGCUGAGGAGCGAAAGCAUGGGGAGCGAACAGG
rnacentral:rRNA from 1 species